GUGAGGAAUAUUGGUCAAUGGGCGAGAGCCUGAACCAGCCAAGUCGCGUGAAGGAUGAAGGUUUUAUGAAUUGUAAACUUCUUUUGCAGGGGAAUAAAGUACGGUACGUGUACCGUUUUGUAUGUACUCUGCGAAUAAGGAUCGGCUAACUCCGUGCCAGCAGCCGCGGUAAUACGGAGGAUCCAAGCGUUAUCCGGAUUUAUUGGGUUUAAAGGGUGCGCAGGCGGGUUGAUAAGUCAGCGGUGAAAGUUUGCAGCUUAACUGUAAAAUGGCCGUUGAAACUGGCGGUCUUGAGUGCAAAUGAGGUAGGCGGAAUGUGUUGUGUAGCGGUGAAAUGCUUAGAUAUAACACAGAACUCCGAUUGCGAAGGCAGCUUACUGGGAUGCAACUGACACUGAUGCACGAAAGCGUGGGUAUCAAACAGGAUUAGAUACCCUUGUAGUCC
rnacentral:rRNA from 1 species